rnacentral:rRNA from 1 species
GGGAUGCCCCAGUAACGGCGAGUGAAGCGGCAAAAGCUCAAAUUUGAAAUCCUGCGGGAAUUGUAAUUUGAAGGUUUCGUGGUCUGAGUCGGCCGCGCCCAAGUCCAUUGGAACAUGGCGCCUGGGAGGGUGAGAGCCCCGUAUGGCGCACGCCGACUCUUUGCACCGCGGCUCCGACGAGUCGAGUGGUUUGGGAAUGCAGCUCUAAGUGGGUGGUAAAUUCCAUCUAAAGCUAAAUAUUGGCGAGAGACCGAUAGCGAACAAGUACAGUGAUGGAAAGAUGAAAAGCACUUUGAAAAGAGAGUGAAACAGCACGUGAAAUUGUUGAAAGGGAAGGGCUUGCAAGCAGACACGGUUUUACCGGGCCAGCGUCAAAUAAACGGGGGGGAAAAGGGGGAAAGAAUGUGGCGCGUGCCUUCGGGUUCGCGUGUUAUAGCUUUCUCUAAUACCCCCAUGUUUGUUUGAGGCCUGCGAUUCUAGGACGCUGGCGUAAUGGUUGCAAGCCGCCCGUCUUGAAACACGGACCAAGGAGUCUAACGUCUAUGCGAGUGUUUGGGUGCAAAACCCCAGCGCGGAAUGAAAGUAAGAGGUUGGAGCCGCAAGGCGCACAAUCGACCGACCCUGAAGUGCUCGGACGGGUUUGAGUAGGAGCAUAGCUGUUGGGACCCGAAAGAUGGUGAACUAUGCCUGGAUAGGGUGAAGCCAGAGGAAACUCUGGUGGAGGCUCGCAGCGGUUCUGACGUGCAAAUCGAUCGUCGAAUCUGGGUAUAGGGGCGAAA